AUUGAACGCUGGCGGCAGGCUUAACACAUGCAAGUCGAGCGGAGAUGAGGUGCUUGCACCUUAUCUUAGCGGCGGACGGGUGAGUAAUGCUUAGGAAUCUGCCUAUUAGUGGGGGACAACAUUCCGAAAGGAAUGCUAAUACCGCAUACGCCCUACGAGGGAAAGCAGGGGAUCUUCGGACCUUGCGCUAAUAGAUGAGCCUAAGUCGGAUUAGCUAGUUGGUGGGGUAAAGGCCUACCAAGGCGACGAUCUGUAGCGGGUCUGAGAGGAUGAUCCGCCACACUGGGACUGAGACACGGCCCAGACUCCUACAGGAGGCAGCAGUGGGGAAUAUUGGACAAUGGGCGGAAGCCUGAUCCAGCCAUGCCGCGUGUGUGAAGAAGGCCUUUUGGUUGUAAAGCACUUUAAGCGAGGAGGAGGCUACCUGGAUUAAUACUCUAGGAUAGUGGACGUUACUCGCAGAAUAAGCACCGGCUAACUCUGUGCCAGCCGCCGCAGUAAAAC
rnacentral:rRNA from 1 species